CCGGCCUCCCGGCGCAGCGUGGGGAGCCUCGGCCUGCGAUCGCGGGCCCCGGAAGCUUCCUUCGGGGAGGAUUCCGCGAAGCCUCCCGCUCUGAGAACGUGAGGGAGGUUUGCAGAUUCCUGCAGGCGUUUCUUGUUCUCACUUCGCGCCCGCUUCGCGGGGACAGAAGGGCCCUGCGUUGCUUCGGCGCCUUUCCGGUCGUCUUCUCGAAACCCCUCCUGUUUUCCCACCGGAAGGCCCAGCGCUGUCUCUUUGGUCGCCAAACACCGACUCUUUGUCUUUUUGUUUUCUCUUCAUCCCCCCGCUCCCUUCCCUUAUGUCUCUUUUCCUCGUCUGCUCCUUCUGCCCCCGAGCAGCGCUCGGCAGGACGGAUCCAGGAGGCGGACAGCCUGGCAUCGGUUCAGUCCCCGCGGCAUCUUCGCCGGGUGGCCCUGGGCGAGACUCUCUGCCUGUCCUCGUCUGUAAAGUAGGAGCGGUCCCCGUUCGGCCCUCGGAGGAGUUUGUGAGAAUAAACUAAAGUGAGUCUCUGUGAAGCAUUAGAACGCGGCUUUAUACGUAGUAAGCGCUGAACAAGUGUUUAUCGAAUACAAUUGUCUUUAAAGUAGAACAGACCCCUCCUGGAAAAUGGCCUAGAACAAGGAUCAAGGUGUGCACGCGAAGCUGAACUGGUCCAUACAGAGAAACACUCCUCCAGGAGUGUGAACGGGGCAUGACACCGAGCCUCUGGGGACGGCACAGAUGUGCUAUGGAUCCCUGAACAUUCGUUCUAGGGCCCCCGCGACUGCUGUCAUAUUGGAAAUAGAUUUAUGCGACCCUUUAA